rnacentral:rRNA from 1 species
UCGGGUACUUUAGUGGCGAACGGGUGACUAAUACAUAGGUAACCUACCCUUAAGACGAGGAUAGCCAUUGGAAACGAUGGAUAAAACUGGAUAGGAUAUAGAGGAAGAAUCUUUUAUAUUUAAAAGAGAGAUCUGCUUAAGGAGGGGCCUGUGGCGCAUUAGCUAGUUGGUGGGGUAAGGGCCUACCAAGGCGAUGAUGCGUAGCCGGACUGAGAGGUUGAACGGCCACAAUGGAACUGAGAACGGUCCAUACUCCUACGGGAGGCAGCAGUAGGGAAUUUUCGGCAAUGGGGGGAACCCUGACCGAGCAACGCCGUGUGAACGAAGAAGUUAUUCGUAAUGUAAAGUUCUUUUAUCAGGGAAGAAAGAGGAAUUUGACGGUACCUGAGGAAUAAGCUCCGGCUAACUACGUGCCAGCAGCCGCGGUAAUACGUAGGGAGCGAGCGUUAUCCGGAAUUAUUGGGCGUAAAGGGUGCGUAGAUGGCAUAGUAAGUCUUUUGUAAAAAUGCUGGGCUCAACCCAGUAGGGCAAAAGAUACUGCAAAGCUAGAGUAUGACAGAGGCAAGUGGAACUACAUGUGUAGCGGUAAAAUGCGUAAAUAUAUGUAAGAACACCAGUGGCGAAGGCGGCUUGCUGGGUCGAUACUGACAUUGAGGCACGAAAGCG